UUGUGCGUACUGCAAACAAAAAACAAAGCCGGGAAUUAGCGGCGUGAACAUUUCCAUUUGAGGAGUCAGAAUCAGCCGGUUUAGUUAUGAUUAAUAGCAGGUUACAACGCAGUGUCAUUUACGACGCGCACGCUAGGAAGGGGUGUGAAAAUUGUCGAGAGCGUGCGGAAUGAAGUUGAGGAGAUAAUUACUGGUGACGUGUCAAACGCCCUCGUCUGGUUUGAUGAGAGAAAAAAAGCGGCACGUCAACAAGGCAAACCAGAAACAACAUACAAAGUCAUUCAAGCAGAACCCAAGUACAAAACAUUUGAGCAACUAAAUCGUCGAUGGCAACCUGAUUUGCUGACCCGAGAAUGACCAAACCCAUUGCGAUGCCGGCGGCCUCGCCGACGACAGCGUCGUCUUCGAAAAGUCGAUCACGAAGCAAAGAGAAAACCUCCUCGUUGCACGUGCCCAUCGCGGCCAAUCCCAACCCGAGGCAACCGCCGUGUUUGAUGUUCUACAAAAUUACAUUUUGUUUCAAUUCCGAGUCAAUAAACCACGAAAUAUUUU